rnacentral:rRNA from 1 species
AAACUUUCAACAACGGAUCUCUUGGUUCUGGCAUCGAUGAAGAACGCAGCGAAAUGCGAUAAGUAAUGUGAAUUGCACAAUUCAGUGAAUCAUCGAAUCUUUGAACGCACAUUGCGCCCUCUGGUAUUCCGGAGGGCAUGCCUGUUCGAGCGUCAUU